rnacentral:rRNA from 1 species
UAAGGAAUAUUGCGCAAUGGGCGACAGCCUGACGCAGCGACGCCGCGUGGGGGAUGAAGGUCUUCGGAUUGUAAACCCCUUUCGGGAGGGAAGAUGGGGCAGGUAACUGCUCGGACGGUACCUCCAGAAGCAGCCACGGCCAACUUCGUGCCAGCAGCCGCGGUAAUACGAAGGUGGCAAGCGUUNUUCGGAUUCACUGGGCGUACAGGGUGUGUAGGCGGUUUGGUAAGCCUUCUGUUAAAUCUUCGGGCCCAACCCGGAAAGCGCAGAGGGGACUGCCAGGCUAGAGGGCGGGAGAGGAGCGCGGAAUUCCCGGUGUAGCGGUGAAAUGCGUAGAGAUCGGGAGGAAGGCCGGUGGCGAAGGCGGCGCUCUGGAACGUACCUGACGCUGAGACACGAAAGCGUGGGGAGCAAACAGGAUUAGAUACCCUGGUAGUCCACGCCCUAAACUAUGGAUACUAAGUGUCGGGGAGUUACCGCCGGUGCCGCAGCUAACGCAUUAAUAUCCCGCCUGGAAUACGCCGCAACG